CCUACGGGAGGCUGCAGUGAGGAAUAUUGGUCAAUGGACGAGAGUCUGAACCAGCCAAGUAGCGUGAAGGAUGACUGCCCUAUGGGUUGUAAACUUCUUUUAUAUGGGAAUAAAACGUUCCACGUGUGGGAUUUUGUAUGUACCAUAUGAAUAAGGAUCGGCUAACUCCGUGCCAGCAGCCGCGGUAAUACGGAGGAUCCGAGCGUUAUCCGGAUUUAUUGGGUUUAAAGGGAGCGUAGGUGGAUUGUUAAGUCAGUUGUGAAAGUUUGCGGCUCAACCGUAAAAUUGCAUUUGAAACUGGCAGUCUUGAGUACAGUAGAGGUGGGCGGAAUUCGUGGUGUAGCGGUGAAAUGCUUAGAUAUCACGAAGAACUCCGAUUGCGAAGGCAGUUCACUGGACUGUAACUGACACUGAGGCUCGAAAGUGUGGGUAUCAAACAGGAUUAGAUACCCCAGUAGUC
rnacentral:rRNA from 1 species